rnacentral:rRNA from 1 species
AGCGCACACAAGAAAUGGGGCCUGCGGCUUAAUUUGACUCAACACGGUGCAACUCACCCGGCCCGGACACAGGAAGGAUUGACAGAUUAAGAGCUCUUUCUUGAUUCUGUGACAGGUGGUGCAUGGCCGUUUCUAGUUGGUGGAGUGAUUUGUCUGCUUUAUUGCGAUAACGAGCGAGACUCUAGCCUACUAAAUAGACUCGGUAUCAUUUACCGUACCGAGGUCUUCUUAGAGGGACAAGCGGUGUUCAGCCGCACGAAACAGAGCA